UACGUAGGGUGCAAGCGUUAAUCGGAAUUACUGGGCGUAAAGCGUGCGCAGGCGGUUGUGCAAGACAGAUGUGAAAUCCCCGGGCUCAACCUGGGAACUGCAUUUGUGACUGCACGGCUGGAGUGCGGCAGAGGGGGAUGGAAUUCCGCGUGUAGCAGUGAAAAUGCGUAGAUAUGCGGAGGAACACCGAUGGCGAAGGCAAUCCCCUGGGCCUGCACUGACGCUCAUGCACGAAAGCGUGGGGAGCGAACGGG
rnacentral:rRNA from 1 species